GCUACGAAGAAGCUCGGCUGAAGUCUACCUGUAAUGGAAGUUCGAAAGAGACGUGUUUAUAGUAGGGGCUUGAAUGGUAUUUGCUUACAGUAGAGAUUCAGAGUAGACCAUCCGCUGUAGGAGUUCGGAGUAGACUGCUCGUAGUAGAAGUUUGGAGCAGACCGCUCGCUGUAGGAGUUCGGAGUAGACUGCUCGUAGUAGAAGUUUGGCUCUCACAGGAGCUCGAUUAGAAUCUUGAAGGUGGUCGACUGCCGUAGAAACUCGGA
rnacentral:lncRNA from 1 species